GAGGGCGGUCUAUGCAAAGUAUCCCUCCCCUUCAUCCCUUUAUAAUCAGAGACUCAACUCUGGUCUUCUCAUUAUAGGCAGCUUGGACUGACAUUAUAACAUUACAAGUCCUGUACUAACAAAUACUGAACAAUGAGGACUGCCUGGACUUUAGUACUCAUGGUGGUGUCUGUAAAAAGUGUUCAGGGUCAGACACUGACGGAGUCUGAAUCAGUGGUUAAAAAGCCUGGAGAAUCCCACAAACUGACCUGUACAUAUUCUGGGUUUGGUGGCAACAAUUGGAAUGCUUGGAUCAGACAGGCUCCUGGGAAAGGACUGGAGUGGGUUUCAGCUAUUACCAGCAGUGAUGGUGGUAGCACUUACUACUCCCAGUCUGUUCAGGGUCAGUUCACCAUCUCCAGAGACAACAGCAAGCAGCAGGUGUAUCUCCAGAUGAACAGCUUGAAGACUGAAGACUCUGCUGUUUAUUAUUGUGCCAGAGACACAGUGACACAGGAGGCUGCAGCGCUGUACAAAAACUUAUUAAGCAAGCACUUCUCUUACUGUGAGAUUCUGUGAAAUAUUUCUGAGCUCCAGUCUCUGUCAACAUAAAUCCCAUGGCCCGACCAACACUAGGAGAGAGUAGACACAUACUACUCUAAAUUAUAACCAUUAUUAUUUGAAAAGCAUAAAACAUACCUGUCAUUUUGUAAGAUAAAAACAUAAAUAUCUUUACAGCCAUUCAAUUAUAAUCUCUAGCAGCUAAAACCAUUUACCUCGUAAUGUCUAUUUGAAUGAAACCAAAUGUCAAAUUUCAGCAAACAGGAUUAGUACAAUAUGUAAUACAGAACCAUGAAGGUCAAUAACGUUAAAGUAUAGAUGAAACAAGUUUAGAUGAAACAAGUUUAGAUGAAACAAGCUUAGAUGGAACAAGUAUAGAUGGAACAAGUUUAGAUGAAACAAGUUCAACUUUUUAUGGCUGCAGGGGCAGUAUUGAGUAGCUUGGAUGAAAGGUGCCCAUAUCAAACGGCCUGCUCCUCAGUCAUUGUUGCUAAUAUUUGCAUAUUA